CCAGUGUACAAAGAGAAACGACCUGCUGUUCUGCUAUUGCUCCAUUCAGAUGGACAGUGCUCAGCAACAGAGAAGCCCGAAUGCUCAAAAUGAGCCAAUAAUAAGCCAGGGGAGGGAAUUCAGGAAUGGGUGGACCUUUCCUUGAAAAGGGGCUGGACUGUAAUUAGCAUCAGGAACUUAACUCUGAAAACUGUUUUCUUUUUAUAUGUCUGAGGAGGCUGGGUUUUAUUCCUAACCUUUGACUUAAUUUCUUUUUUCUUUUUUUCCUUUUUUUUUUUUUUUUUUGGUGCCAGGGAUCAAACUCGGGUCCUUGCGCUUGCAAAGCGGGCAGUGGAACCACUGAGUUAAUCCCCAGCCUUGACUUAAUUUCUUGUUUGAAACUCCCUCAAGCCUUGUUGGCACAAAGGAAGAGAAAAAGCUUUGUCCUGUCCAGUGGUGAUGCAGAGAAGGGCUGGCCUUGGAGAUGUGAAGACAGCCGAAGAUCCUCAGGAAAGUUCCCUUGGUCCGUCUGAGGUCAGGGAUUCGGUAUCCGGCGUUCUGGAGGAUUCAACUCGGAGGAAGGUGGUGCGCAACUUGCGCCUGCUCUGAGCGCAGGACGCUGAACCCGGAAGGAGCCGAUUCCAAGCGCUGGACACUGACAGCCCUCCUGCGCUCCCCCGGUCCUGGACCCAACCUUUCCCUGAAGGAGAGCAGCGAUCUGAAGGACCCCAAAGGCAGAAGCUUCGUUGUGUACAGUUUGUAGUUACCGUUCUCUUCAUCCAUAUCACAGGGACAUCAUCACAUAGUGUUUGGCAAGGGCAAGGCAACGCUGAUGUGCGCGGACUGGAGCCUGAACCUGAGAGCUCCCUGUGUAAGAUGCACACCUGUAGUCCUUGGUCUGGCCCUGGAGAACGUUCUGGGGAGGGAAUGUGUUAGGAGACAAUCUAACAAACAAGAGCCCCAUUCCAAACCGUUCCCCAAACUACUUUAGGAAAAGUCAGAUUAGACGAAAUUCGAGGCUCCUAAAUCGUUAAGCUCCUCUGAUCGGCUCCUAGAGUCUUAAGCCCUGUAGUUUAUUGUUUGUCUUUGAAACCAUUAUCUGCCCCUAAGUGCCUAAUUUUUUAAUGGGAGUCCUCCAGCAUAUACCAAUACAGGUUGUGUAGCACUCAAACAAGUAUGUCCACAGUCAACUACUGUCAACCCCCCCACACAAUGUGCUUUAUUUUAUUAAAGAAGCCCAGUAAGAUUUCCAAUCUAAGAAAUCUUAUUGCACAUUCUUGAAAAUUCAGUAAAUAAAUAAUUUUCGUGGAAUAUGUACAUUGCCAAUCUGUUGGAGGAGACCAGACCUGAGGACUUUUCAACCUUCAAUAAAAAAGAAGAGGACUUUACAGCUGGGGUGAAAAAGGGCUCAUGAGCUGAGCCAAUAGGGCAGCAUGGCUUUACUAUGUGCGGAAGCAUUCAGACACAUGGCGGCCCUUUCACAAUAAAACUUUAUUGAUGAUCGUUUGAAAGUUAUGGCAACUCCAAGGUUAUAAAACUUGUCAUAAAAUACCAAGCAGUCAUUAGUUUACCUGACCUCAUUUCAAUAUAAAGUUCCACAAAACAUUUUAUUUUGUUCCUUUCUAUAAGUGGAGAAAAGUAGUUAAACACAGCAGCCUAUUACUGAGGACCCAAGAUCUGCAAUUUGACAUUUUGACCUUCAUAUCUG